rnacentral:rRNA from 1 species
CCUCUUCCCAUUCCGAACAGAGAAGUUAAGCCCGCCAUCGCCGAUGGUACUGCGCACUGUGGUAGAGUAGGCAGCUGCCUUUU